UCAUAGUGUGGCUUUGGACUUCUUGGUCUU
rnacentral:piRNA from 1 species